UACAGAGGAUGCAAGCGUUAUCCGGAAUGAUUGGGCGUAAAGCGUCUGUAGGUGGCUUUUUAAGUCCGCCGUCAAAUCCCAGGGCUCAACUCUGGACAGGCGGUGGAAACUACCAGGCUGGAGUACGGUAGGGGCAGAGGGAAUUUCCGGUGUAGCGGUGAAAUGCGUAGAUAUCGGAAGGAACACCUGUGGCGAAAGCGGCGCACUGGACCAAAACUGACGCUGAGGCGCGAAAGCUAGGGGAGCAAACAGG
rnacentral:rRNA from 1 species